AAGCUAUAGUGCGCAACUAUUUUGCAUUAAUGAACGUCUGUUACAUUCAAGCCAUGUCCAAAUGAGUUGAUACAAAGCUACUUGAAUGGAUAUGUUAACUAAAUGGUGUAGUCCGGCGACUUUCGCGCAUAGAAGCUCUAUGGUCCUUGUUCUGAAAACGUUUGAGAAACACUGAUUAAAAGUAAAUUCAAUUUGUAUUAUUUUCUUUAUCUGUCAUUCGACUCAAGACAACCAGCGAAUACUUAAAAGGACGUUUAAUUCUUCUUGUAUUAAUUAUCACUGCAUUUCCUCACUGUCCUGUUGGCACUGCAUUCCAAAUCUGUGGCAAAUGAGCUAAGCUAAACGGGUAAUUAUUGACUUGAUGUUUGAUGCUACUGUAAGUGACGACAGCAUAAAGUUUGGUAUUAAACGUGGGCCAAGAUGA